rnacentral:sRNA from 1 species
GUCAGUGCCACGUGUCUGGGCCACUGAGACCACAUGAUGGGAUUGAGGACCUGAGGAA